UGGGUAUCUGAAAAUACAUUAUCAUUCUCAAAUAUAUGCAGCGCGAACGUGCUGAAAAAUCAUGCGUCGUAUCGACUCGCGAAAGGAGAAUCGGUUGAAUAUUUAACGUCAGGUAGAGUUUACAGAGAAGCACCAGGAUAAGCGCGAGAACAACCUUCCGAGAAACGCGUCUCUGUAACUGCUCGGCAGAAACAAGUUAUGCUGGUGCAUGAGGAAGUUAUUCGUGUCCAAGGAUGGCCGAUUAUCACGGAAGUCGCGAUAAUGCUUCACGGUGGUCACGAGAAUUCAUAUUCCGAUAAAUUAUAAGACGUUGAGUGUCACGAUUGCCACCUCAAUAUUGUUCCUAUAUGCGUUCUGUACACAAUAAGUAAAAACAUCUACACAUUUCAUUUCUUUGCAGAAUGGAGAAUUUUUGCAUUAUUUUCCCAUGAAAGAAAUCAAAGAAAAAAGAAAAUUGGUAGAGAGCAUAUUUCAAAAUGGAGAAUUUUUGCAUUAUUUUCCUAUGAUAGAAUUCAAAGAAAAAAGAAAAUUGGUAGAGAGCAUAUUUCAGAAUGGAGAAUUUUUGCAUUAUUUUCCCAUGAAAGAAUUCAAAUAAAAAAGAAAAUUGGUAGAGAGCAUAUUUCAGGGAAUAAAGUGUAUGUAAAUGCAUUUUGUGGGACAAUCAGCAAACAGUUAUCGAAUAAAAACUUCGAUUGAGCCAUGUGUCACAGGACGGUGAGACACGACAAUGUAUUUCGCCAAUUAAUCUGGCGCCAUUUAAAAGUUAUAACGUUUUCCAAAGUCUACACAGACAGAGUCGUAAUUCGCGCACAAGCGACAAUGCACGAAUUACAAUAUUGUGCUAUGUAAUAAAUGUUGAUUAUCAAUCAACAGUUAUAACUUUAUCGAUAGUUCGUGAGACAAAAGCAUGGACGGUGCCACAUUGUCUUCCGGCACGCAAGUUUAUCGAGAUUAAAAACAUGUCACUUUAUGAUUUCAUCUCCGCCGAUUAUCAUCACGUGGCGCGAUACAGUUUCUCUCCUCUUUUCCGCCGUGGGAGAAAGAAAAUACACAUUAUUUCGACGAUACGUUAUCUGCGGGCGCGCGACUGUGACAAUGAUCGAACGUAUCGGGACUACGAGUCCGUAAAUUGCUCUCAAUAAAGCGCGUAAUUGACGCAUCGGUAUGUCAUGCAGCUCGUAAAUAUCUGAAGAAUGCAACGUCGAGAGUGACGUUUAUCAGCAUUGCCGUCGCCGCCGUCGCGGCGAUGUCUCAAUUAAUGGCACUCUCUCCACAAUCAAAAAACUUUAGAGAAAGAGAGAGGGAGAGAGAGAGAGAAAGAUAUUAUAUAAAAUAUUCUCUCAUCUCUCAGAACCGCGUUAUCUGAUACUCGACGAUAUCGACACAAUG